rnacentral:rRNA from 1 species
CCUACGGGAGGCAGCAGUGGGGAAUCUUGCGCAAUGGGCGAAAGCCUGACGCAGCCAUGCCGCGUGGAUGAUGAAGGUCUUAGGAUUGUAAAAUCCUUUCACCGGGGACGAUAAUGACGGUACCCGGAGAAGAAGCCCGGCUAACUUCGUGCCAGCAGCCGCGGUAG